rnacentral:rRNA from 1 species
GAGUUUGAUCAUGGCUCAGAUUGAACGCUGGCGGCAUGCCUUACACAUGCAAGUCGAACGGCAGCACGGGAGCUUGCUCCUGGUGGCGAGUGGCGAACGGGUGAGUAAUGCAUCGGAACGUAUCCUGGAGUGGGGGAUAACGUAGCGAAAGUUACGCUAAUACCGCAUAUUCUGUGAGCAGGAAAGCGGGGGACCUUCGGGCCUCGCGCUCUUGGAGCGGCCGAUGUCGGAUUAGCUAGUUGGUGAGGUAAAGGCUCACCAAGGCGACGAUCCGUAGCAGGUCUGAGAGGAUGAUCUGCCACACUGGAACUGAGACACGGUCCAGACUCCUACGGGAGGCAGGCAGUGGGGAAUUUUGGACAAUGGGGGCAACCCUGAUCCAGCCAUGCCGCGUGAGUGAAGAAGGCCUCGGUUGUAAG